GUUAUAUGUAGCAAUGUAGCAGACCCCAAGAAAUUCCUGGAUCAGUAACAGCAUCAACAGAAUAUGAUUCCCCAAAAAGUGCCCUAAAAAUGAUGCCUUGAUUUGAAACUGGUAUCUUUCUUUAUCACGAACCAUGGAACAUCUAAAGAUCUGCUUCUAGGAAGGACUACUUUACUGGAGAACUGUGUGAAUCAACUCAUGGCUAUGUAAGAAAAUGAGAUGGCAAUUUCCAAGAGAAUUGUAUGGUUCAUUCAACAACCUGAAACUAAGCUUUAAAGUACUCCUAUCACUUUUGCAGUUGCUAUUAUGACUAAUAAUACUAACAA